rnacentral:rRNA from 1 species
GGGACACGUGAAACCCUGUGGGAAGCAGGAGGGACCACCCUCCAAGGCUAAAUACUACCUAGUGACCGAUAGCGUAUAGUACCGUGAGGGAAAGGUGAAAAGAACCCCGGGAGGGGAGUGAAAUAGAACCUGAAACCCUGCACUUACAAGCUGUGGAAGCACAUUUCUUGUGUGACCGCGUACUUUUUGUAGAACGGGCCAACGAGUUACGUUAAGUAGCAAGGUUAAGCACUUAAGGUGCGGAGCCGUAGCGAAAGCGAGUUUUAACUGAGCGUUCAGUUACUUGACGUAGACCCGAAACCGGGCGACCUACCCAUGAGCAGGAUGAAGCGAAAGUAAAAUUUCGUGGAGGUCCGAACCCACGAGCGUUGAAAAGCUCGGGGAUGACUUGUGGGUAGCGGUGAAAUUCCAAUCGAGCCCGGAGAUAGCUGGUUCUCCCCGAAAUAGCUUUAGGGCUAGCCUCAAGGUGAGAGAUACGGAGGUAGAGCACUGAAUGUCCUAGGGGGUAUUGCACCUACCGAAGACUAUCAAACUCCGAAUGCCGUCAUCUUAUACUUGGGAGUCAGACUGUGGGUGAUAAGAUUCAUAGUCGAAAGGGCAACAGCCCAGAUCGUCAGCUAAGGUCCCUAAAUGUAAGUUAAGUGGUAAAGGAUGUGGGAUUGCACAGACAACCAGGAUGUUGGCUUAGAAGCAGCCACUCAUUCAAAGAGUGCGUAAUAGCUCACUGGUCGAGUGAUCCUGCGCCGAAGAUUUCCGGGGCUAAAACUUACUACCGAAGCUACGGCAUCAGUAAUGAUGGGUAGGGGAGCUUCCCAUACGGGUUGAAGCAUGACCGUAAGGACAUGUGGACAGUAUGGGAGUGAGAAUGUUGGCAUGAGUAGCGAGAUGUGGGUGAGAAUCCCACAGGCCGUAAACCCAAGGUUUCCAGGGGAAGGUUCGUCCGCCCUGGGUUAGUCGGGACCUAAGCUGAGGCCGAAAGGCGUAGGUGAUGGACAACAGGUUGAUAUUCCUGUACUACCGAUAACCGUUUGAGAGAAGGGAUGACACAGUAGGAUAAGCUAAGCACACUGUUGGUUAUGUGUGCCCAAGCAUUGAGGCAGUCAAAGUAGGCAAAUCCGCUUUGAUAAUGCUGGGAUGUGAUGGGGAGCGAAAUUUAGUAGCGAAGUAGCUGAUUUCACACUGUCAAGAAAAGUCUCUAUCGAGGUUAAAGGUACCCGUACCGCAAACCGACACAGGUGGGUGAGGAGAGUAUCCUAAGGCCAGCGAGAGAACUGUUGUUAAGGAACUCGGCAAAAUGACCCCGUAACUUAGGGAUAAGGGGUGCCACCAUCAGGUGGCCGCAGAGAAUAGGCCCAAGCGACUGUUUACCAAAAACAUAGGUUUCUGCUAAGUCGCAAGACGAUGUAUAGGAGCUGACGCCUGCCCGGUGCUGGAAGGUUAAGGGGAUCUGUUAGAGCAAUCGAAGCAGUGAACUUAAGCCCCAGUAAACGGCGGCCGUAACUAUAACGGUCCUAAGGUAGCGAAAUUCCUUGUCGGGUAAGUUCCGACCCGCACGAAAGGCGUAACGAUUUGGGCACUGUCUCAACAACAGACUCGGUGAAAUUGUAAUUCCGGUGAAGAUGCCGGAUACCUGCGACAGGACGGAAAGACCCCAUGGAGCUUUACUGUAGCUUGACAUUGGGUCUUGGUACUACAUGUACAGGAUAGGUGGGAGGCUUUGAAACCAGGACGCCAGUUUUGGCGGAGCCAUCCUUGGGAUACCACCCUUGUAGUACUGGGACUCUAACCAUAGGCCAUGAAU